rnacentral:rRNA from 1 species
UACGUAGGGUGCAGGCGUUAAUCGGAAUUACUGGGCGUAAAGCGCGCGUAGGCGGUCCUUUAAGUCUGAGGUGAAAGGUUCAGCGCUCAACGUGAACAGUGCCUUGGAGACUGGGGGACUUGAGUGUGGGAGAGGGCAGUGGAAUUCCUGGUGUAGCGGUGAAAUGCGCAGAUAUCAGGAAGAACACCAAUGGCGAAGGCAGCUCUCUGGGACGGUACUGACGCUGAGACGCGAAAGCGUGGGGAGCGAACAGG